CCCCUAGAUGUUCUGGGCCGCACGCGCGCUACACUGAACAGUUCAACAAGUCUUAACCUCGGCCGAUAGGUCUGGGUAAUCUUUGAACGCUGUUCGUGAUUGGGAUAGACCUUUGCAAUUAUGGGUCUUCAACGAGGAAUUCCUAGUAAACGCAAGUCAUCAGCUUGCAUUGAUUACGUCCCUGCCCUUUGUACACACCGCCCGUCGCACCUACCGAUUGAAUGGUCCGGUGAAAUCUCGGGACGGCGGCUUGGUCGCUUGCGUCCGACUGCUGAAACUUGAUUAAACCAUNUNAUUUAGNGGAAGGUGAANUCGUANCA
rnacentral:rRNA from 1 species